rnacentral:lncRNA from 1 species
UCCUGGGAGUGGAAGACUACAACUCCCAUGAUUCCAUAGCAGUUAGCUAUGGCAGUUGAGUGCUGUAAAACCAUUUAAUUCAUUCUGCACUCAUGGACGCAAAAUCCUUGAAUUGCAACAGGCAUUUUCCAAUCUCUAAUACCUAAAUUUACCUUCAGGCUAGCUUUAAUGGAACUUCCCCUAGAUUCAGCAAUAGCAAGCAAAUGUAUACUGACCACUUAAUACUGUUUGAAUGCAGCUUAAUAGUGCUGUAUUUAGAUGAUGCACGCCAUGACGCACAGCAAUGCUCAUUAAUGGCUGUAAAUCAGGAUAAGUCUGAGAGUAUACACUGGUUUGAGCGCCCGCUGUUAGCCCCAGCUUCUGCCAACCUAGCAGUUCGAAAACAUGCAAAUGUGAGUAGAUCAAUAGGUACCGCUCCGGCGGGCAGGUAACGGCACUCCAUGCAGUCAUGCUGGCAACAUGACAUUGGAGGUGUCUACGGACAACGCCGGAAAUGGAGAUGAGCACCAACCCCCAGAGUCAGACAUGACUGGACUUAACGUCAGGGGAAACCUUUACCUUUACCUUAUACACUGAAUUAGAGCCUGUAAUGUGCAUCAGCACACCUAAAUGUGAACCACAUCACACAGAGAAACUGAUUUAAGGAAUUCCUUCACAGCCAUGAAGUUGUGGAUCCUGGAGCCAGUUUGAGGGCAAUUUCUAUGGUGCAUAUAUGUACCAUCCAGCUCGCAAACAGUUAAAUCACUGUGUUGUCGAAGGCUUUCAUGGCCGGAAUCACAGGGUUGUUGUGUGUUUUCCGGGCUGUAUGGCCAUGUUCCAGAAGUAUUCUCUCCUGACGUUUUGCCCACAUCUAUGGCAGGCAUCCUCAGAGGUUGUGACCAACAGAGCUAUGGCAGGCAUCCUCAGAGGUUGUGAGGUCUGUUGGAAACUGGGCAAGUGGGCUUUAUAUAUUUUAUUUAUUUAUUUAUUUAUUUAUUUAUUACAAAAUUUAUAUCCCGCCCUUCUCGCCCAACAGGGGACUCAGGGCGGCUUACAAAAAACACAUAUAUAAAAAUUAUACAAUGCACUAUAAAUCAGUUAAAAAGUUAUUAACUCACAUCGGGCAUUCAUAAAACACAUUAUAAAAUACAGUUAGGCGUGUUCAAGUUUAAAAGACUGGAAUAAUGUCCAGGGUGGGAAGAAAGAACUCUUGUCUGUUUGAGGCAGGUGAGGAUGUUGCAACUGGCCUCCUUGAUUAACAUUGAAUAGCCUGGCAGCUUCAAGGUCUGGCUGCUUCCUGCCUGUGGAAUUGUUGGUAGGUGUUAGCUGGCCCUCAGAAGACAGGAGAAUUCCAGACAAUAAAGGGGAAUCCUUUCUUGGGAAGCGUUAGCUGACCCUGAUUUGCAACAUUCACACUUGCCUCAAACAGACAAGAGUUCUUUCUCUUUUCAGUUUCGAAGCCUGGCUGCUUCCUGCCUGGGGGAUCCUUUGUACAGAGGCUACCAGUAUUGAAAUUUGGCCUUGCUUUGCGUUGCCAAAGGCUUUGGGGACCACCAAAAGCAGCAGCAUUGCCCAUACAUGAAUCAAGGAACACGAAAGGCACUGAAGACUGAUUCAACCAGGGAAGUCAGCCAUAGCAGAGCACUUGAUGAACCAAUCUGGACGCAGCUUAUUAUUUGAGACCACUCUAACAAAUACCAGAGAAGCCACUGAAAUCCACAAGCAUGUGGACAAUUUCAACAGAAAGGAGGAAACCAUAAAAAUGAACAAAAUAUGGCUACCAAUAUUUAAAAAAACCCUCUAAAAUCAGGACAGAAAAUAAAGAGCAACUCUCAGAAAACAGGGGAAUUCCAGGCAUGAAACAAUCGGGGCCAGCUAACACCUCCCAACAAAGGAUUCCCCCAGGCAAGAGGUAGGCAGGCAGGCUUUUCAAUGCUAAUCAAGGUGAUUAACUUCAACAUUCACACCUGCCUCCAACAGAAAAGGGUUCUUUCUCCCACCAUGGAUCUUCCACAGAUAUAUAAACCCCACUUGCUUAGUUUCCAACAGACCUCACAACCUCUGAAGAUGCCUCCCACAGAUGUGGGUGAAACGUCAGGAGGGAAUGCUUCUGGAGCAUGGCCAUACAGCCCGGAAAGCUCAGAGCAACCCAGUGAUUCUGGCCCUGAGAUACUUCAACAACACAAAAAAUCCCAUGACAUAGUGUCAAACUGCAUCAAUUCAAUAGUGUAUUAAUUCAACUGACACCCUACGCUGUGCUUACGUACUAAGCCUUGAAGUUUGCUCAGUGCUGUGGAAUUUGGGAUUCAUAGUUUGGUGGGGGAAGAAAUGCCAGAUAAGAUAUAAUACAAGGGCAAUAGAAAAGCCCUCUGCAUGUUACACAACUCUAGUGCUGAACGGCACUGUUGCACAAUCUUUUCUGUAGGUUUUUAAGCAGAGACUAGAUGGCCAUCUGUUGGGAGUGCUUUGAUUGUGGCAGAACUUGGGUUGGACUAGAUGGCCUCGGGGUCAUUCCCAAAUUUCGGAUUACUGUAUACGAAAUGAACUUGCAACUGGAAUCCUAGAGUUGGAGGAAGGUCGUCCAGUCCAAAUCACUUCCCUGUAGAAAUACACAAGCGAAUCACUCCAGACAGAUGGCCAUCCAAUUAUUCCACACUGGACAAUGAAGUUAUUUCACACUGGACGAUGCGGUUAUUCCACACCUGUAGAUGCAUCCUAAGACUCCGGAGACGAGGGUUUGAAACUUUACUGUGGAUGCAUCUACAUUGUAGAAUUAAUCCAGUUUUAUACCACUUUAAGGACGAUGUCUCCAUGAGAUGGAAUCCUGAGAGCAGCAGUUUGGUAACAGGCCUGUUUUCUGUGGCAGAGAAGACUGCAACUCCCAGCACUCCAUUGCAGUAAGACUUUGCUAUUAAAGUGGUAUCAAACCGCAUUAAUUUUACAAUGUGGAUGCAUUACACUUUAAGGGCGAUGUCUGCAUGAGAUGGAAUCCUGAGAGCAGCAGUUUGGUAAGAGGCCUGUUUUCUGUGGCAGAGAAGACCGCAACUUCCAGCACUCCACUGCAGUAAGACAUUGUUAUUAAAGUGGUAUCAAACCGCAUUAAUUUUACAAUGUGAAUGCAUUGCAAACCGCAAAUUGCCACGAUCGGUUCACUUUAGGAUCCCUAUGAAUUGGCAAAACAAAGGCACAAAGCAACAACAAUAAACAAAGCCCACUUUCCCCCGCGUUUGCCCACCCAGAGUGGAUACAAUCCCAGCCAGCAGUUUCUGGGGACGAGUGCGCAUGCGCGGCUUUAAAAGCCGGCUCCACUCGUCUUCAGCGAGGAGGGGUGGAGUGCAGGAAGCAAAAGGGGGCGUGGUCCGAUGCGGCCAAUCAGGUGACGCCUGCGGGAUUAUGCAAAACAGCUACGGUGGCGCCGGCCAAUCAGGAGCCGAGCCGAGCCGGUCGUAUUUAUAGAUCCUAUUUAAAGAGCCCAGGGGAGUCUCCUUCCUUGUGGAGUGAAGCUGGACUGUGUGUGAAUGCAGGAGCGUUCACGCGUGGAGUUGGGCGGGGAAAAUGCCAAGAAUACUGUGGCUUCUUUCCCUCUAUUUACAUUUUAACUCUUCCUCCUCUUCUUUAGAAAGGCGUGACAUUUAAUGUAACAAUCCGUCCUUAUACAGGAUGACCUCACAACCCAAAAAUUGGCCACCUUGAUUAGCAUUGAAUAGCUUUGCAGCUUCAAAGCCUGGCUGCUUCCUGCCUGGGGGGUGUGAAUCCUUUGUUAGGAGGUGUUAGCUGGCCCUGAUUGUUUCCUGUCUGUGAUUCCUCUGUUUUUUAAGUGUUGUUCUUUAUUUACUGAACUGAUUUUAGAGGUUUUUUUUUUAUAAAAAAAAAUAUUGGUAGCCAGAUUUUGUUCAUUUUCAUGAUUUCCUCCUUUCUGUUGAAAUUGCCCAAAUGCUUCUCAUGGAUCUGAAUGCUAAUCAAGGUGGCCAGUUCCAGACACGAAACAAUCAAGGCCAGCUAACACUUCCCAACAAAGGAUUUCCCCCAGGCAGGAAGCAGCCAGGCUUUGAAACUGCAAAGCCAUUCAAUGCUAAUCAAGGUGGCCAGUUCCAGACACGAAACAAUUAAGGCCAGCUAACACCUCCCAACAAAGGAUGCCCCCAGGCAAGAAGCAGCCAGGCUUUGAAGCUGCAAAGCCAUUCAAUGCUAAUUAUGGUGGCCAAUGGCAACAUUCACACUUGCCUCAAACAGACAGAGUUCUUUCUCCCACCCUUGACAUCAUUCCACAGAUAUAUAAACCCCACUUGCCAAGUUUCCAACUUGCUUCUGGAACAUGGCCAUACAGCCCGGAAAACUCACAGCAACCCAACAUACAACAAUUGCUUUGGGAACUUACGUAUUUCAGAUGAAACCGCUUAGCGCCACAUGAUAACAGUAUGUAACAAAAUUUGAAAAAAAAAUGUUCCUAGUUUAAAGGUGUUAUUUCCUGUUUAAUUGUGCGGUGCUUACCGUAUAUACUCGAGUAUAAGCCGACUCGAAUAUAAGCCGAGGCACCUAAUUUUACCACAAAAAAAACCUGGGAAAACAUUGACUCCAGUAUAAGCCGAGGGUGGUAAAUUUCAGAAAUAAAAAUAGAUACCAAUAAAAUUACAUUAAGUGAGGCAUCAGUAGGUUAAAUGUUUUUGAAUACAGUAGAGUCUCACUUAUCCAACAUUCGCUUAUCCAACGUUCUGGAUUAUCCAACGCAUUUUUGUAGUCAAUGUUUUCAAUACAUCAUGAUAUUUUGGUGCUAAAUUCAUAAAUACAGUAAAUACUACAUAGCAUUACUGUGCAUUGAACUACUUUUUCUGUCAAAUUUGUUGUCUAACAUGAUGUUUUGGUGUUUAAUUUGUAAAAUCAUAACCUAAUUUGGUGUUUAAUAGGCUUCUCCUUAAUCUCUCCUUAUUAUCCAACAUAUUCGCUUAUCCAACAUUCUGCCGGCCCGUUUAUGUUGGAUAAGUGAGACUCUACUGUAUUUACAUAAUGCUCAAAUUUAAGAUAAGACUGUCCAACUCUGAUCAAAUCAUUAUUCUCAUCUUCUUCAAUGUAAAUGUGCUUAUGGAUCCUUUUAAUAAUAAUAGAGUAAAAUAAUACAUGUAAUAAUAAUAAUAAUAAUAAUAAUAAUAAUAAAAAAUAAUACAGGAAAAUAAUAAAAGUAAUAAUAAAUAGAGUAAAAUAAUAAAUGCAAUAAUAAUAAGAUCAGAGUGAAAUAUUAAAUGUAUUAAUAAUAAUAAUAAUAAUAAAAUAGAGUAAAAUAAAUGUAAUAGUAGCAACAAUAAUAGAGAAAAGUAAUAUAUGUAAUAAUACCAAUAAUAAUAGAGAAAAAUAAUAAAUGUACCAUAUAUUCUCGAGUAUAAGCUGACCCAAAUAUAAGCCAACCAGGACCCUCACCCGAGUAUAAGCCAAAGAGGGUUUUUCAGUCUUAAAAAAAAGGGCUGAAAAACUAGGCUUAUACUCGAGUAUAUACAGUACUUUGAAAGUAAUUGUUAUCUUCCAGAAACUUCAUUUUUGUGGCUGCCACAAACUGUAUUGAAUUGGUUGAGGCUCUGUGAGAUAUUCAUUGAAAAACAUUAGCAAUAUCUGCUGCAAGAUGUCCUGCAAAGACAACGUUUUUGCAUUUUAAUAAACCUUUUCCAUGUUUUAAUGAUAGAACCAAUUAGGUAAUGACAUUUAUAACCCAGGAACAAAAAUCGUGUUACACAGUGUAGUGUUUCGGGACAGGAUAGUGCUGAAGCUUCUUAAGGCAACAUCAGUGCUAUCUUAU